rnacentral:rRNA from 1 species
UACGUAGGGUGCGAGCGUUAAUCGGAAUUACUGGGCGUAAAGCGUGCGCAGGCGGUUUUGUAAGCCAGAUGUGAAAUCCCCGGGCUCAACCUGGGAAUGGCAUUUGGGACUGCAAGGCUGGAGUUUGGCAGAGGAGACUGGAAUUCCCGGUGUAGCAGUGAAAUGCGUAGAGAUGUGGAGGAACACCGAUGGCGAAGGCAGCCCCCUGGGUCAAAACUGACGCUCAUGCACGAAAGCGUGGGGAGCAAACAGG